GAAGUUGCCCUUAUGAUGCUUAUGGCUUAUUUAGCAUACCUGUUGGCUGAGGUACCAAAUCAUACAAUCUCAAAUCCUUCCUAGAAAAUUUUUAACAAAAAAACGUGCGGGAAUAUCGUAUAACUCAUUGAUAAAUGAUGCCUCCUAAUUUUCCUUCCUUUCCACUCCGUAGCAUAGGAAUAUCAGUAAUCUCUUAAAUCAUAUCUCACCUGCUGCAGCUUUUUAAAUUUUGUAUUGACUUUGAUUGUAAGGGGUACAUACAUGGCUAUCAAAUCUUCCUGCAGAAUCAUUCUAGCAAAUGCGUUUCACUUAAAAAUUUAGAAACAUAGUAUCUUUGCAUCAUAAGUCCACUCUAAUGGCAUCAUUGGGUGAAAUGGGACUUUUCUUCCCUCUCGCGGCUUUGCAUUCUCAGUGGGAUUUUGACAGUUUU
rnacentral:misc_RNA from 1 species